GACGAACGCUGGCGGCGUGCUUAACACAUGCAAGUCGAACGGAAAGGCCCUGCUUUUGUGGGGUGCUCGAGUGGCGAACGGGUGAGUAACACGUGAGUAACCUGCCCUUGACUUUGGGAUAACUUCAGGAAACUGGGGCUAAUACCGGAUAGGAGCUCCUGCUGCAUGGUGGGGGUUGGAAAGUUUCGGCGGUUGGGGAUGGACUCGCGGCUUAUCAGCUUGUUGGUGGGGUAGUGGCUUACCAAGGCUUUGACGGGUAGCCGGCCUGAGAGGGUGACCGGCCACAUUGGGACUGAGAUACGGCCCAGACUCCUACGGGAGGCAGCUGUGGGGAAUAUUGCACAAUGGGCGGAAGCCUGAUGCAGCAACGCCGCGUGCGGGAUGGCGGCCUUCGGGUUGUAAACCGCUUUCGCCUGUGACGAAGCGUGAGUGACGGUAAUGGGUAAAGAAGCACCGGCUAACUACGUG
rnacentral:rRNA from 1 species